rnacentral:SRP_RNA from 1 species
GCCGGGCGUGGUGGCGUGUGCCUGUAGUCCCCCCUAUUUGGGAGGCUGAGGUGGGAGGAUUGCUUGAGCCCAGAAGUUCUGGGCUGUAGGGCGUUACGCUGGGUGUCCCCACGAAGUUUGGCAUCCAUAUAGCGACCUCUCGGGAGCAGGGGACCACCAGGUUGCCUAAGGAGGGGUGAACCAACCCAGGUCUGAAACAGAGCAGGUCAAAACUCAUGUGCUAAUCAGUAGUGGGAUCGCCCCUGUGAAUAGCCACUGCACUCCAGCCUGGGCAACAUGGCAAGACCCCGUCUCUU